rnacentral:rRNA from 1 species
AGAGUUUGAUCCUGGCUCAGGAUGAACGCUAGCGGCAGGCUUAACACAUGCAAGUCGAGGGGUAACAGGGUGCUUGCACCGCUGACGACCGGCGCACGGGUGCGUAACGCGUAUACAAUCUACCUUUUACAGAGAGAUACCCCAGAGAAAUUUGGAAUAAUACCUCAUAAUAUUAUUGCUCGGCAUCGAGUGACAAUUAAAGUUUCGGCGGUAAAAGAUGAGUAUGCGUCCUAUUAGCUAGUUGGUAAGGUAACGGCUUACCAAGGCGACGAUAGGUAGGGGUCCUGAGAGGGAGAUCCCCCACACUGGUACUGAGACACGGACCAGACUCCUACGGGAGGCAGCAGUGAGGAAUAUUGGUCAAUGGGCGCAAGCCUGAACCAGCCAUCCCGCGUGCAGGAUGACGGCCCUAUGGGUUGUAAACUGCUUUUAUACACCAAGAAAAAUCCCCACGUGUGGGGACCCGACGGUAGUGUAUGAAUAAGCAUCGGCUAACUCCGUGCCAGCAGCCGCGGUAAUACGGAGGAUGCAAGCGUUAUCCGGAUUCAUUGGGUUUAAAGGGUGCGUAGGCGGCUUUUUAAGUCAGUGGUGAAAUCCUGCCGCUUAACGGUAGAAUUGCCAUUGAUACUGAAAAGCUUGAGUACAUUUGAGGUAAGCGGAAUGUGUAGUGUAGCGGUGAAAUGCUUAGAUAUUACACAGAACACCAAUUGCGAAGGCAGCUUACUAAACUGAUACUGACGCUGAUGCACGAAAGCGUGGGGAGCGAACAGGAUUAGAUACCCUGGUAGUCCACGCCGUAAACGAUGCUCACUCGCUGUUUGCGAUACACAGCAAGCGGCCAAGCGAAAGCAUUAAGUGAGCCACCUGGGGAGUACGAUCGCAAGGUUGAAACUCAAAGGAAUUGACGGGGGCCCGCACAAGCGGAGGAACAUGUGGUUUAAUUCGAUGAUACGCGAGGAACCUUACCUGGGCUUAAAUGUAGAGCGACAGAUUGUGAAAGCAGUCCUUCUUCGGACGAUCUACAAGGUGCUGCAUGGUUGUCGUCAGCUCGUGCCGUGAGGUGUCGGGUUAAGUCCCAUAACGAGCGCAACCCUUAUCGUUAGUUGCCAGCGGAUCAUGCCGGGGACUCUAGCGAGACUGCCACCGUAAGGUGUGAGGAAGGUGGGGAUGACGUCAAAUCAGCACGGCCCUUAUGUCCAGGGCUACACACGUGUUACAAUGGCCGAUACAAAGGGCAGCUACCCCGCGAGGGGAUGCAAAUCUCGAAAGCCGGUCUUAGUUCGGAUUGGAGUCUGCAACUCGACUCCAUGAAGCUGGAAUCGCUAGUAAUCGCGCAUCAGCCACGGCGCGGUGAAUACGUUCCCGGGCCUUGUACACACCGCCCGUCAAGCCAUGGAAGCUGGGGGUACCUGAAGUCUGUAACCGCAAGGAGCGGCCUAGGGUAAAACUAGUAACUGGGGCUAAGUCGUAACAAGGUAACC